rnacentral:rRNA from 1 species
UACGUAGAAGACUAGUGUUAUUCAUCUUUAGUAGGUUUAAAGGGUACCUAGACGGUAUGAUUAGUCUUAAACAGGAUACGAUUAUAUUAGAGUUAUAUAUGAGAAGGGGAGUAUUUAUGGAGUAGAGUUGAAAUUCUUUGAUCCCAUGACGACUGGUAACGGCGAAAAGCAACCUUUUAUCUAAUAACUGACGUUGAGGGACGAAGGCUCGGGUCACGAACAGG